rnacentral:rRNA from 1 species
AAUGAACGCUGGUGGCAGACCUAACACAUGCAAGUCGAACGGUCUAUAUUAAACUUCGGUUUUUUAUAGAUAGUGGCAAACGGGUGAGUAAUGCGUGGGAAUCUGCCCUAUAGUACGGAAUAGCCGUUGGAAACGACGAUUAAUACCGUAUAUCUUCCGAGGAAGAAAGACUUGUCGCUAUAGGAUGAGCCCACGUUAGAUUAGUUUGUGGUAGGGUAACGGCCUACCAAGACUGCGAUCUAUAGCUGGUUUGAGAGGAUGAUCAGCCACACUGGAACUGAGAUACGGUCCAGACUUCUACGGAAGGCAGCAGUGAGGAAUAUUGGACAAUGGGCGAAAGCCUGAUCCAGCAAUACCGCGUGAGUGAUGAAGGCUUUAGGGUUGUAAAACUCUUUCAGUAGGGAUAAUAAUGAUGUUACCUACAGAAGAAGCACCGGCUAACUCCGUGCCAGCAGCCGCGGUAAU